rnacentral:rRNA from 1 species
GGGGUAAACCUGCGAAACUCGAAUGAACGAACGGAGAGAUUCAUCGUCAUUCCGCGGCGUGCGGGUGCGCGUUCGAUGUCCUCGGCUUCGGUCGGGUGUCACGUCGCGUACGCGUCACGUCCGCGGACGGCGUGCACUUCUCUCUCAGUAAACAUGCAUCGCGACCCGUUCGAUGUCGGUCUAAGCGCCGUUCGGGAGCCACGCGGUCCCUUCGCGGGGGCUGCGUGACCGCUACGGACGCCGACCGGCCGUCGGACGGUAUAAUAUGUGAAACGCGCACGCGUAAUGUACGCGUCCGGCCCGACGCAAGUCAACGUCGUAUCCGACGUUCCGCCCGAGCGCGGACGUAGGUGCGGCGCGUCUGCUCUCGCCGCCGUGUAGUAUCGGACAGUGCGCGUCUCGGUCUGCGAUGAUUCAGUUUCGGGCACUCGCAGGACCCGUCUUGAAACACGGACCAAGGAGUCUAGCAUGUGUGCGAGUCAUUGAGAUUUUUAUAAACUGAAAGGCGUAACGAAAGUGAAGGCGUGCGCUCGUCGCGCGCUCAGGGAGGAUGGAGCGUCGGUCUAGGUCGAUCUCUCGCACUCCCGAGGCGUCUCGUUUCCAAUCCGUGAAUGCAGGCGCGCUC